UACGGGGGGGGCAAGCGUUGUUCGGAAUUACUGGGCGUAAAGGGCGCGUAGGUGGCCUGCUAAGUCGGAUGUGAAAUCCCUCGGCUCAACCGAGGAACUGCAUCCGAUACUGGCGGGCUUGAAUCCGGGAGAGGGAUGUGGAAUUCCUGGUGUAGCGGUGAAAUGCGCAGAUAUCAGGAGGAACACCGGUGGCGAAGGCGGGACUCUGGGCCGAUACUGACGCUGAGGAGCGAAAGCGUGGGGAGCAAACAGG
rnacentral:rRNA from 1 species